GCCAGACUCCUACGGGAGGCAGCAGUGGGGGAUAUUGCACAAUGGGGGAAACCCUGAUGCAGCGACGCCGCGUGAGUGAAGACGGCCUUCGGGUUGUAAAGCUCUGUCAAUCGGGACGAAGAAGAUGACGGUACCGAUGAAGGAAGCUCCGGCUAACUACGUGCCAGCAGCCGCGGUAAUACGUAGGGGGCAAGCGUUAUCCGGAUUUACUGGGUGUAAAGGGGGCGCAGACGGCGAUGCAAGCCAGGAGUGAAAGCCCGGGGCCCAACCCCGGGACUGCUCUUGGAACUGCGUGGCUGGAGUGCAGGAGGGGCAGGCGGAAUUCCUGGUGUAGCGGUGAAAUGCGUAGAUAUCAGGAGGAACACCGGUGGCGAAGGCGGCCUGCUGGACUGCAACUGACGUUGAGGCCCGAAAGCGUGGGGAGCAAACAGGAUUAGAUACCCCUGUAC
rnacentral:rRNA from 1 species